AGAAAGAUGUCUGAGAGGUUAAAAGAUGUAAAUUGCUAAUUUAUUAUGUCAAGGGUUCGAAUCCCUUUCUUUCUU
rnacentral:tRNA from 2 species